UACGAAGGGGGCUAGCGUUGCUCGGAAUCACUGGGCGUAAAGGGUGCGUAGGCGGCCCUGUAAGUCAGUGGUGAAAUACUCUAGCUUAACUAGAGGGGUGCCAAUGAUACUGCAGGGCUUGAGUACAGAUGAGGUAGGCGGAAUUGACGGUGUAGCGGUGAAAUGCAUAGAUAUCGUCAAGAACACCGAUAGCGAAGGCAGCUUACUGGGCUGUAACUGACGCUGAUGCACGAAAGUGUGGGGAUCAAACAGG
rnacentral:rRNA from 1 species